rnacentral:rRNA from 1 species
GACGAACCGUCCAAACGUUAUUCGGAAUCACUGGGCUUACAGAGUUCGUAGGCGCCUGGCAAGUGGAUGGUGAAAUCCCUCGGCUUAACCGAGGAACUGCCAUCCAGACUGCUUGGCUUGAGACCGGGAGAGGUGAGUGGAAUUCCCAGUGUAGCGGUGAAAAUGCGUAGAUAUUGGGAGGAACACCAGUGGCGAAGGCGGCUCACUGGACCGGUACUGACGCUGAGGCGCGAAAGCGUGGGGAGCAAACGGG